rnacentral:lncRNA from 1 species
UGAAAUUUAAAUGAUUUUGUCAUGUCAUUUCAAUCUGAACUUUUUAGUACUGUAUUUCAAUUUAAGCUUGCUUGUUUUGAAAUUAUUUUGUUUCAAGAAACAAAGUGACAAAAUGUACUGUUAUGUAUUAUAAUUGUAUUGAUGAAACCCUAUGUCCAUUUUUCAUGUAAUAUGAUGGAGAUGGACUGGAACGGAUAUACAACGCAGAUAGACGGACCACGGAGUUUGUUGAUAGCUUCCAUUAUUUUCUCAAAUUGGCCAAAGCCAACAAGUCAGGAAAGCUAACUCCAAAAUCAAUUAAGAACCUAAAUCAAUUAAUCAACAGGGUUAUUAAGAAGCAAAUCAAAGGUAACUCCAAAUUGCUAAGAGUUAAGAUCCAAAAACACCCUAGAUUUUGACCAAUAUAUAAGUGGUAGCCCUUCCACUCAUAGUACUUCCUCUGACUUUUAGCAGAGAGCGUUCCAAAAACUGAGUAGAAGUUCAGUCAAAUUUCAAGUCAAAUUCAAAAAUAGCUUUGACCAUCAUUCCACAAAAGUUCCCACAAUCCUAUCUCCACAUCCG